rnacentral:rRNA from 1 species
AUGAAGGCCUUAGGAUCGUAAAGCUCUUUCGCCAGGGAUGAUAAUGACAGUACCUGGUAAAGAAACCCCGGCUAACUCCGUGCCAGCAGCCGCGGUAAUACGGAGGGGGUUAGCGUUGUUCGGAAUUACUGGGCGUAAAGCGUACGUAGGCGGAUUGGAAAGUUGGGGGUGAAAUCCCAGGGCUCAACCCUGGAACUGCCUUCAAAACUAUUAGUCUAGAGUUCGAGAGAGGUGAGUGGAAUUCCAAGUGUAGAGGUGAAAUUCGUAGAUAUUUGGAGGAACACCAGUGGCGAAGGCGGCUCACUGGCUCGAUACUGACGCUGAUGUACAAAAGUGUGGGGAGCAAACAGGAUUAGAUACCCUG